rnacentral:rRNA from 1 species
AAGCUCGUAGUUGAAUUUCGGGAUCAAUGCGUCGGUCGUGCCUUCGGUACGUACUAGCGUCAUUGAUUCCUCCCUUCUGAAGAACCGUGAUGUCAUUAAUUUGGUGUUACGGGGAAUCAGGACUGUUAACCUUGAAAAAAUUAGAGUGUUUAAAGCAGGCUAACGCUUGAAUACAUUAGCAUGGAAUAAUGAAAUAGGACGUUUGAUUCUAUUUUGUUGGUUUCUAGGAUCGACGUAAUGAUUAAUAGGGAUAGUUGGG